CGUACACUCCUGCGGGAGGCAGCAGUGGGGAAUUUUGGACAAUGGGCGCAAGCCUGAUCCAGCCAUGCCGCGUGCGGGAAGAAGGCCUUCGGGUUGUAAACCGCUUUUGUCAGGGAAGAAAAGGUUCUGGCUAAUACCUGGGACUCAUGACGGUACCUGAAGAAUAAGCACCGGCUAACUACGUGCCAGCAGCCGCGGUAAUACGUAGGGUGCAAGCGUUAAUCGGAAUUACUGGGCGUAAAGCGUGCGCAGGCGGUUAUGCAAGACAGAGGUGAAAUCCCCGGGCUCAACCUGGGAACUGCCUUUGUGACUGCAUGGCUAGAGUACGGUAGAGGGGGAUGGAAUUCCGCGUGUAGCAGUGAAAUGCGUAGAUAUGCGGAGGAACACCGAUGGCGAAGGCAAUCCCCUGGACCUGUACUGACGCUCAUGCACGAAAGCGUGGGGAGCAAACAGGAUUAGAAACCCUGGUAGUCCCAU
rnacentral:rRNA from 1 species